CCAAUAGCGUAUAUUUAAGUUGUUGCAGUUAAAAAGCUCGUAGUUGGAUUUCGGAUGGGACUUGCCGGUCCGUCGUUUCGAUGUGCACUGGCCAGUCCUAUCUUGUUGUCGGGGACUAGCUCCUGGGCUUCACUGUCCGGGACUAGGAGCUGACGAGGUUACUUUGAGUAAAUUAGAGUGUUCAAAGCAAGCCUACGCUCUGAAUACAUUAGCAUGGAAUAACACGAUAGGACUCUGGCUUAUCUUGUUGGUCUGUGAGACCAGAGUAAUGAUUAAGAGGGACAGUCGGGGGCAUUCGUAUUUCAUUGUCAGAGGUGAAAUUCUUGGAUUUAUGAAAGACGAACUUCUGCGAAAGCAUUUGUCAAGGAUGUUUUCAUUA
rnacentral:rRNA from 1 species